rnacentral:tRNA from 2 species
CCUUCGAUAGCUCAGUUGGUAGAGCGGUGGACUGUAGUACAAGAACCUGAGGGAAGUUCUCUCAGCAUAUCAGUAAUCCAUAGGUCGCUGGUUCAAAUCCGGCUCGAAGGA